AUAUAUUCAGUUUUUACUGUUUAUGAAUACGUAGAGUUUAAUCAGAGGCUUCGAAUUAGAGGUAUUAAGUUGUUUUCGUUAGGAAGUAUUUCACCUCUAAUACUGAAUUAUCCGGCACAAAUUCGAAUUUUGUACGUCCCAAUGCGAAUAUCGAAUACCGGAAUUUUCUUUUGGCAUCAGGUGUGAUCACAUUAUUUCACUGCUUUAUUUUGUUAUGGCGGAGGUUUCUGCUAUACUCCGCCAUCGACCUUUGUGGAGAAGCAUUUUCAAUUUGUCCGUCACCGAAGAAUUUUACCUACAACUGUCAAAUUAAUAGAUUUCCUAUUACAAAAGAAGUAGUAGGAAAUCUAUAUGGAAAAGAUUGAUAACAAAACAGUUAUUGGCCAAAUCCUAUUUGUUACGAUACUCCGUCUGAUUUGUUAUGACUGAAUUUCUCAUUUUCUAACUCUUAAUAUUUGCCAACUGAAUUGUUUUAUUUCAACUAAACGUUUCCUUUAUUGUUUACUCUGUCUUAUUUUCCCCAUUUUUUAUGUGACUUCUGAUGUCUAUAGCCCCAUCAUCGCACCUCUUUAAAUGGGUUAAAUCUACUUCUUAGCUUCUACUACCCUUGAACCCUUUAAGAUAUUUUCAGAGAAUAAUUUCUAAUAUGCGUAAACCCCUGACUUGGAGGUUCUACAGUUCCUGGUAUAUUUUGGAGGGUAGCUACAACUCACCAGGUAACACAAAGCUCUUUGAAAUGUAAUUUUAUUACAAUUACCAUUUAAACUAAAUUUCAUCACAUUUACCACCGUUAUUGCCUAUAUUACUCGCCCAAAAGAGGUUAUGGCUAAUAUUGCGUAAAGGCCAAACUUUAACAAGGUUUUACUUUACCUAAUUCAAUAGAGAUUGGUUAUGAAGUUUGAUGGAGGCAGGAUAAUGGAGAAGGCAAACCAAUGACUAUGACAAGUUACUUAUAAAUAAACCUGAAGGAGGUGC